UUAAGUUCAGCGGGUAGUCCUACCUGAUUUGAGAUCAAACAUUCAAAGAGCUGUCCUCACUGAGGAGAGACGUUUAUGAGCCCCAGCGAACCCUCACCACUGAAGGUUACGGUUACCUGAUGGAAAACCACAAGCGUAGAUAGUUAUCACACCCGUGAUGCCACCAAACACUGGCAAGCUAAUUCUUUUGAGAGGAGCCA
rnacentral:misc_RNA from 1 species